UUCAGAGUCAUAAGAACUUGAUAAUUGCUCUUCUUCUGGUAUUCCUCCGUCCAGAGCUGCUUCUCUAACUGCUUUUCUAAUAGCACAUAUGAUUCUUUUAAUUUCUGGAUCCAAUGGAAUUAAUGGGGAUCUAGAAUUGUGCAUACACAAAUAGAAAAUAUCUCAGUAGCACUAUGAUAAACAAGAAAUUAAAAACAAAAAUUAGAAAGACUAAAAAUAAAAUAAAAAACAAUUUCACAAACAUCACCUUGUUGAAA
rnacentral:lncRNA from 1 species